UGCGCAGGCGGUUUGUUAAGUCAAUUGUUUAAUUUCUCGGCCUAACUGAGAGUCAGCAAUAGAUACUGAUAAACUAGAGUUUGGAAGAGAGAAGCGGAAUUCUCGGAGUAGCGGUAAAAUGCGUAGAUCUCGAGAGGAACACCGAUGGCGAAGGCAGCUUCUUGGUCCAUUACUGACGCUCAUGCACGAAAGCGUGGGUAGCAAACAGGAUUAGAUACCCUGGUAGUCC
rnacentral:rRNA from 1 species